GAGACACACCAGGACGACUGUUGAGGGAAACCGAGAGUGUGGACCAUCCACUUAUCUCUAAAUAAGGUUUCUCCCCGAGGCUGGAGACCUGAAGACAGAGGGGGAGCGGUUCCCAUGAGCCGAGCUCGUAAAGGGGAAUGUCGAGUGACGAUCCAAACUUCCAGGAACAGCAGAUGGUUGGAAUUGUUCUACAUGCUGUAGCAAGUCAAACAAACACUACUGUGGACUACACAGUCUGACGAAAGAAGUGCUGGUGGGUGAGACACUGAGGCCAGACCGAGUGCAAAAGUGCAGAAAAGACCUGGAAUGAUGAAAAGGAUAGGAGUUUCUCAUCAUGAAUCUGCUCUGAAGUUCACUGGAAAUUUCUGAGCUAUUCCUGCUAAAUCAAUAAAGUCUAUUAGAAAAUGAUUAAAGUCCCUUAUGACAAAUUUUAAUUAAAAAAUAUUCCCAGUAGCGCUUUAAAUAAGUUUAUUAAGUUUUAAACCAAAAUCCCACAACCUAAAAGUCUUAAAAAGUCAUUUUUCAUGUUGAUCUGAAGCCUGUUUCCAAAAUCUCCUCUGAGGGGGCGUGGCUUUUGGAGCAGCCCCGCCCCUGAGAUUUAGUGCAUGUGCAGCAGUAAGGAAGGAUCAUUAUUCAACCAGAGUCUGUCUGUGACAGUUCGAUUGACCAGAUUUAUAAGGAGAAAUAUUCAGAAAUGCAAUAAUGAAAUGAUUUCUCAUCACAUUUUAUUAGAAAAAUGCCACAAAUGCAUGUUAAAAACUAAAACAAAAAAACAAAAAAAA